GACCUUCGGGUCUAGUGGCGCACGGGUGCGUAACGCGUGGGAAUCUGCCCUUGGGUUCGGGAUAACAGUUGGAAACGACUGCUAAUACCGGAUGAUGUCUUCGGACCAAAGAUUUAUCGCCCAAGGAUGAGCCCGCGUAGGAUUAGCUUGUUGGUGAGGUAAGAGCUCACCAAGGCGACGAUCCUUAGCUGGUCUGAGAGGAUGAUCAGCCACACUGGGACUGAGACACGGCCCAGACUCCUACGGGAGGCAGCAGUGGGGAAUAUUGAACAAUGGGCGAAAGCCUGAUCCAGCAAUGCCGCGUGAGUGAUGAAGGCCUUAGGG
rnacentral:rRNA from 1 species